rnacentral:rRNA from 1 species
UGGGGAAUUGUUCACAAUGGGCGCAAGCCUGAUGACGCAACGCCGCGUGGGGGAUGAAGGUCUUCGGAUUGUAAACCCCUGUCGAAUGGGACGAAAGACUCGCGAGUUAAUACUUCGCGGGAGUGACGGUACCGUUAAAGGAAGCCACGGCUAACUCUGUGCCAGCAGCCGCGGUAAUACAGAGGUGGCAAGCGUUGUUCGGAAUUACUGGGCGUAAAGGGCGCGUAGGCGGCCUACUAAGUCAGACGUGAAAUCCCCCGGCUUAACCUGGGAACUGCGUCUGAUACUGGAAGGCUUGAGUAUGGGAGGGGGAUGUAGAAUUCCAGGUGUAGCGGUGAAAUGCGUAGAUAUCUGGAGGAAUACCGGUGGCGAAGGCGGCAUCCUGGACCAUUACUGACGCUGAGGCGCGAAAGCUAGGGGAGCAAACGGGAUUAGAUACCCAAGUAGUCCCUGAGCGGGCUGGCAAGGCGCAU